UACGAAGGGGGCUAGCGUUGUUCGGAUUUACUGGGCGUAAAGCGCACGUAGGCGGGUUGUUAAGUCAGGGGUGAAAUCCUGGAGCUCAACUCCAGAACUGCCUUUGAUACUGGCAACCUAGAGGCUGGAAGAGGUUAGCGGAAUUCCCAGUGUAGAGGUGAAAUUCGUAGAUAUUGGGAAGAACACCAGUGGCGAAGGCGGCUCUCUGGUCUGUAACUGACGCUGAGGCGCGAAAGCGUGGGGAGCGAACAGG
rnacentral:rRNA from 1 species